rnacentral:rRNA from 1 species
CCUACGGGAGGCAGCAGUGGGGAAUUUUGGACAAUGGGCGAAAGCCUGAUCCAGCAAUGCCGCGUGUGGGAAGAAGGCCUUCGGGUUGUAAACCACUUUUGUACGGAACGAAACGGUUCGCUUUAAUACAGUGGGCUAAUGACGGUACCGUAAGAAUAAGCACCGGCUAACUACGUGCCAGCAGCCGCGGUAAUACGUAGGGUGCGAGCGUUAAUCGGAAUUACUGGGCGUAAAGCGUGCGCAGGCGGUUUUAUAAGACAGUUGUGAAAUCCCCCGGGGCUCAACCUGGGAAUUGCAUCUGUGACUGUAUAGCUAGAGUACGGUAGAGGGGGAUGGAAUUCCGCGUGUAGCAGUGAAAUGCGUAGAUAUGCGGAGGAACACCGAUGGCGAAGGCAAUCCCCUGGACCUGUACUGACGCUCAUGCACGAAAGCGUGGGGAGCAAACAGGAUUAGAUACCCUGGUAGUCCACGCCCUAAACGAUGUCAACUGGUUGUUGGGUGCAUUAGUACUCAGUAACGAAGCUAACGCGUGAAGUUGACCGCCUGGGGAGUACGGCCGCAAGGUUGAAACUCAAAUGAAUUGACGG